rnacentral:lncRNA from 1 species
AUUUAGAAGAUAGAUUCAAGGACUUUCUCUUUGUGAAUUCUAGUCUUGAAUUCCUGUCAGUCAUCACCGGAAGAAGUGCUGUAAUCCAAGACAAAUGUGUGGCAGGUAAUUCCCGGCUGCUACUUGGACUGACAUGAUGUCUGCUGCUGAAGUGAAUUGUUCUAUGAUUGUGCCUGUGCCAGUCUGGGAACAGCAUAAAGGCAGAAAAGCAUCUGCUUCUGACACCAGGACUCCUGGUCACCACAUUUCCUCAAUCCAGAAGAUGAUUGGCAUUAUCAAAGAAAAAAUCUAAAAGUACUUUGG